rnacentral:rRNA from 1 species
AACGAACGCUGGCGGCAUGCCUAACACAUGCAAGUCGAACGAUUGCCUUCGGGUGAUAGUGGCGCACGGGUGCGUAACGCGUGGGAAUCUGCCCUUAGGUUCGGAAUAACAGCUGGAAACGGCUGCUAAUACCGGAUGAUAUCGCGAGAUCAAAGAUUUAUCGCCUGAGGAUGAGCUCGCGUUGGAUUAGGUAGUUGGUGGGGUAAAGGCCUACCAAGCCGACGAUCCAUAGCUGGUCUGAGAGGAUGAUCAGCCACACUGGGACUGAGACACGGCCCAGACUCCUACGGGAGGCAGCAGUGGGGAAUAUUGGACAAUGGGCGCAAGCCUGAUCCAGCAAUGCCGCGUGAGUGAUGAAGGCCCUAGGGUUGUAAAGCUCUUUUACCCGGGAAGAUAAUGACUGUACCGGGAGAAUAAGCCCCGGCUAACUCCGUG